UUUAACGGCCGCGGUAUUUUGACCGUGCGAAGGUAGCGUAAUCACCUGUCUUUUAAAUGGAGACCUGUAUGAAUGGCAAAACGAGGGCUUAACUGUCUCCUCUAUCCAGUCAAUGAAAUUGAUCUCCCCGUGAAGAAGCGGGGAUAAGAACAUAAGACGAGAAGACCCUAUGGAGCUUUAGAUUUCAGGGUAGCCUAUAUCAAUAAGCCUAACUCACCCGGCAUAAGUAUUAUACACCCUAUCCUGUGUCUUUGGUUGGGGCGACCGCGGAGAAGAAAAAAACCCCCGCGCGGAACAGGAACAUAAUGUUCUUUCAACUAAGGGCCCCUGCUCUAAUUAACAGAAUUUUUGACCACAAGGAUCCGGCAAAGCCGAUCAACGGACCUAGUUACCCUAGGGAUAACAGCGCAAUCCCCUUUGAGAGACCCUAUCGACAGGGGGGUUUACGACCUCGAUGUUGGAUCAGGACCACCUAAUGGUG
rnacentral:rRNA from 1 species